UACGUAGGGUGCGAGCGUUGUCCGGAAUUAUUGGGCGUAAAGAGCUUGUAGGCGGUUUGUCGCGUCUGCCGUGAAAAUCCGGGGCUCAACCCCGGACUUGCGGUGGGUACGGGCAGACUAGAGUGUGGUAGGGGAGACUGGAAUUCCUGGUGUAGCGGUGAAAUGCGCAGAUAUCAGGAGGAACACCGAUGGCGAAGGCGGCACUCUGGGCCGAUACUGACGCUGAGGAGCGAAAGCGUGGGGAGCGAACAGG
rnacentral:rRNA from 1 species